UACAGAGGUCUCGAGCGUUAGGCGGAAUCACUGGGCUUAAAGCGUGUGUAGGCGGGUCGUUAAGUACCUUGUGAAAUCCCAUGGCUCAACCAUGGAACUGCUGGGUAUACUGGCGAUCUUGUGCAACCUAGGGGCGAGCGGAACAGAUGGUGGAGCGGUGAAAAUGCGUAGAUAUCAUCUGGAACGCCAAUGGUGAAAACAGCUCGCUGGGGGUUUGCAGACGCUGAGACACGAAAGCCAGGGGAGCGAACGGGAU
rnacentral:rRNA from 1 species